CUUUACACGUCAAGAGACGUCUGCACGACAGUUUCGACGCUAAAUGUAAAAAAAAAGCUGUAUGAGUUUAGUGUCGCAACGUUCCUGUAUUUUAUCAUUGGCUUUUAUCUUAGUCUCGAAGUGCACGCCGUUCGCACGUGAAUAACAAUGCAAAUCCAAGGUGAUAAACAUCUGCAUAAUAUAAAACAUAUUGUGGACAUCUAACAAUAAUGGCCAUGUGUGAUAACACGUAGCAGCGAUAUCAUAAAUAUUCAUUUAAAUUUAAACGUAAGAUGUUAGCUGAUGUCAGUAGCUGCUCUGAACGUCUGCCGUGUAGGACGCGCUCAGUCCGUAACGCUGUUUUAACAAAAGUCUUGUAUCGUCGCAAUGCAUUCUCGGAAACGGAAAACAUCACGGGCGCGGGAGCUGAGGGCAAAACAUAUUGUAUGUAAACAUAUGUUCACGAUAAUAGAUGUUUGCUUUGUACUGCACAGUCAAAGUCAUCGCUCGCAUAUACAGAGGACACGUUAUGUAAUCGAAGUGCAGUAUUAACAACAGUUAUCGCGGCUACUAUCAGUAUUUCACUUCGCGGUCAAACUUUUUGGAACAUACCUACAAGUCUGUCUACCUAGUUGAUGCAAUAGUACGAAUUAAAGUCAUGUUAUCGACUACGAUAGUUUAUCGAAGUAUCACACGUUGCAUACAAUUAAAUGUAUGACUUGUGGCCUUAUAACCAGAUAUACGGAACAUAGGAAGUUUCGUGUAAAUAAAUUGACGGAUUGAUAAGUCUCGUGCCUAUAAAUUGGGAAACUGAUAGCCUAGAUCGACUCUCAUCGUAUGAACUUCUGAGACUGCAGAACGUAAUCAACCGUCUCGCUGUUGGCUAGUGUUUUCCGCGUCAUACGAAAAGUAUAUUUCCUCUUAAUCUCAAUGAAUUCGAAAGGAAAAAAGUCGACGUCAAAACGCCGCCGCGUCUCUGAAAAUACGGCUGCACCAUCACCACCGCUCUGUCUUCUCCUUGGAGAUGAUUCUCUACAUGGCCAACUUCAUGUGCUUCCAAGACUACAAACGGUUUGUUCAAUCCUUUUAUCCCGAUAACGUCAUGAAUGAUCUCAUUCGGAAAAAGUUGUGGGAGCCAUCCACUUACCGGACCGAAGCCAAGUUCAUCAACGGAAAGCCAAUGGUGAUCGAGUACAACUUCGACCCCUCAAGACCAAAAGAACAUCAGAUACUGAUGAACGUCAAAUCUUUGUCACCUAUUUUUGGUGGAAUCGUAACUGAAACAAUGAAGGAAUUCACAGGGGUUCCUGAGCUAACGGAUUUCAUCGAUGUGCACGUCCAUUUGAAUCAGUGCUCAAGACGUCAAUUCGCUAGCUGCCCGUGUCACUUGGUUAACCCGAAAAGCCAAGAUUUUGAAGCCUUCAGAAAUUGUCCAACGGAGGCGUGCAAGUAUGGACACGACCAUCAUUACUGUUCACAUCACGUCGCAAGCUGGUUGAACAUUCUCGAGGAAGCUGUUGCGACGACGAGACCACCAUUGUGUCAAAGAGAACCUCGCCCGGUGCUCCACGCGUACGGCGGAUGACACUGUGUACCUUCCUGUGGUCACAAUAGAAAGUUACGGUUCCAUACUUUUUUUAUUCGCAGCUACCGGUUUAAACAGUCAACAUGAAAGGUCUACUGGUUUUACUAGCAUCGUUCCUUCUGGCACAGGCGAGGCCAGAAUCCAUGGCGGAGUCCCCUCACGCUGAGUACAGAACUAUCACCGAUCCGACCAGGUCGCGCAGAAGCGCAGAGACUGUGGGAGAACACGUUGUGAACAAAGCAGGCAUGAUAGGGACCCGAAUCGGAUUCUUCAGCGGCCCGGACACCUACUGGCCAGCCUAAUGUCUUCUGUCGUUCAGCCUAAUGUUCAUUAUUGCAGUGCCAGAUUUUUAUUACUUUUUUAAAUAAAAAGUGGCAGACUUUGCUCUAUAUCAAAUAGUCAAAACUGCAACGACAUUGUUAUCAAAAAUGUAGAUUUUUCAGACUGUAGUCAGGAAUACUACAAAUUAUUAAA